rnacentral:rRNA from 1 species
CCUACGGGGGGCUGCAGUGGGGAAUAUUGGACAAUGGGGGCAACCCUGAUCCAGCCAUGCCGCGUGUGUGAAGAAGGCCUUCGGGUUGUAAAGCACUUUCAGUGAGGAAGAAGGCCUGCGGGUUAAUAGCCGGCAGGAAGGACAUCACUCACAGAAGAAGCACCGGCUAACUCCGUGCCAGCAGCCGCGGUAAUACGGAGGGUGCGAGCGUUAAUCGGAAUUACUGGGCGUAAAGCGCGCGUAGGUGGCUUGAUAAGCCGGUUGUGAAAGCCCCGGGCUCAACCUGGGAACGGCAUCCGGAACUGUCAGGCUAGAGUGCAGGAGAGGAAGGUAGAAUUCCCGGUGUAGCGGUGAAAUGCGUAGAGAUCGGGAGGAAUACCAGUGGCGAAGGCGGCCUUCUGGACUGACACUGACACUGAGGUGCGAAAGCGUGGGUAGCAAACAGGAUUAGAUACCCAAGUAGUC